GUGCUUGAUUCAGCAGCACAUAUACUAAAAUUGGAAUGAUACAGAGAAGAUUAGCAUGGCCCCUGGUCAAGAAAGAUUCAAUAUUAAAUAUUAACAUUAGAUAUUUUU
ensembl:snRNA U6 U6 spliceosomal RNA